AUCACGUAAUUAUAUAGACACAGGUGAGAUUUCAGUUUCCUCGUGGCAUUGCACUGAUGUGACCUGUUGUGUGGGUCGUGUAUUUUCCUCACUCCUCUGGAAAGAUUAGUCGUGUGUGUCCAGGCAUUGUUAGCGAGUAUUUAAGUGUCAUGCGCCUGAAAGAAGUCGCCAGCUGCUGCUU